ACGACGGUUCGUGGGGAUUUGAGACCGGCUUGCGCCCACGUAAAAUAAACCGCUAAAAGGGUCGCGUGACGUGACGU
rnacentral:ncRNA from 2 species